rnacentral:rRNA from 1 species
UGGGGAAUUUUGGACAAUGGGGGCAACCCUGAUCCAGCAAUGCCGCGUGAGUGAAGAAGGUCUUCGGAUUGUAAAGCACUUUAAGUUGGGAGGAGGGGUUGUAGAUUAAUACUCUGCAAUUUUGACGUUACCGACAGAAUAAGCACCGGCUAACUCUGUGCCAGCAGCCGCGGUAAUACAGAGGGUGCAAGCGUUAAUCGGAAUUACUGGGCGUAAAGCGCGCGUAGGUGGUUUGUUAAGUUGGAUGUGAAAUCCCCGGGCUCAACCUGGGAACUGCAUCCAAAACUGGCAAGCUAGAGUAUGGUAGAGGGUGGUGGAAUUUCCUGUGUAGCGGUGAAAUGCGUAGAUAUAGGAAGGAACACCAGUGGCGAAGGCGACCACCUGGACUGAUACUGACACUGAGGUGCGAAAGCGUGGGGAGCAAACAGGAUUAGAUACCCCCGUAGUCCCUGAGCGGGCUGGCAAGGCGCAU